CAGCGACGCCGCGUGAGGGAUGACGGCCUUCGGGUUGUAAACCUCUUUCAGCAGGGACGAAGCGUAAGUGACGGUACCUGCAGAAGAAGCGCCGGCCAACUACGUGCCAGCAGCCGCGGUAAGACGUAGGGCGCGAGCGUUGUCCGGAUUUAUUGGGCGUAAAGAGCUCGUAGGCGGCUUGUCGCGUCGACUGUGAAAUCCCGCAGCUCAACUGCGGGCUUGCAGCCGAUACGGGCAGGCUAGAGUUCGGUAGGGGAGACUGGAAUUCCUGGUGUAGCGGUGAAAUGCGCAGAUAUCAGGAGGAACACCGGUGGCGAAGGCGGGUCUCUGGGCCGAUACUGACGCUGAGGAGCGAAAGCGUGGGGAGCGAACAGGAUUAGAUACCCUGGUAGUCCACGCUGUAAACGUUGGGCGCUAGGUGUGGGGGGCCUCUCCGGUUCUCUGUGCCGCAGCUAACGCAUUAAGCGCCCCGCCUGGGGAGUACGGCCGCAAGGCUA
rnacentral:rRNA from 1 species